GGUUUGCUGGAAGGACUUGUGGUCCUGGAGCUGUGCCUGAAGGACUGACCCCGUGGAAAAGUGAGAGCAGCUCCUGGAGAACUGUUGCCAUGGCAUGGACUCACACUGGAGAAGCUGGUGAAGGACUGUCCCCUGUGGGAAGGACCCCAAGGGAGCAGGAGAAGGACUCCAACUCCUCUCCCUGAGCAGCAGCAGGAACAACCUGGGAUGAACUGACUGUGACCCCCAUUCCCAUCUCCCUGCACCACUGGGGGACAGGAGGUUUCUUGAUGUUUUCUUUAUUCCAGGUUCUUUUUUGGGCAGGAGAAAUUCAUAGCCAAGUCCUGUCUGCUUACACAAAGGCUCCAUUGAUCCUAACUUUGUGAUGAAUGGCCAGCUAGAGUGUGAGAGAGAAAAACCACAUUUUUAUCCAGAAAUCUGUGCUCCUGCCAACAAUCUUCAUUCUCUUUGUGCAAGAAAUAAACCAGUUUUCUACGAUUUUCUCAGGUGGGAAAGGGCAAACUACCCUUUGCUUUACUGUUCUGGAGUGGAGGGAGCUCCAACAAUUCCUAUUUGUCCAUUGGGAUGGGUGAGUGACAUCAAUCUCUACUUGAUAAUUGUUUUUCUGGCUUUAAUAUCAUUGCUUUAAUAAAUAAUGCAUUAUACUCAUAGUUAGAGCUCCCUGUACUGUGUAGUAAAUAAUUCUGAUGAAGAUCUCUUAGUCUAAUCAUUAUCAUCAUCAUCAAUUUAAAUAAAUAAAUAAUUUAUUUUAUUCACAUAAAUGUAUUUGGGUUUCCAUCCUUAACCCUUUAAGCAUAAAGCUUAAAUUACACUAUAGACUCUUUUAGACAACUAUGGGACCAGGAUUGGAUCCAGCUGAGCCCAGACUGUUCUCUGAGAAGGAUUUUGGAAAGCCAGGGGGUCCUUUCUUCACCUUGUAGCUCAACAGGAGGGUCUCCCUAACAGCCCUUUGUCUGGAGCUCCCAUUCUGCCUGCAGUGCUGUUACAAACCAGCAGCACUCUGCAGAUUAAUUGGUGUUUUUACCGUGGGAUUUUUUUUGUAACCACGAUUUGCUUUCAGCUGGGAAGCCUGGCUGUGAAUGGCAUCAUGGCAUCCCAGAGCCCUCAUUUUUGGGACGGGUUUCCAGCCAAAGGCUCAGCUUCCCAGUCGAUCCCAAGGUGGGAAGGUCAGUGCUGACCUGGGGAAAUCUUCGGGAUGCUUCACUUCUCCCGAGUCACUGCCUGGGCCCAUUUUCAGGAAGCCUUGCAAAGGCAAAUCAGCUCCAAACUGCACCCUUGGCUGCCUGCCUGGCUCCUUAAACAUCCUCAGGGACACUCCAGCAGCCUUUUGCUGCUGGGAGGAAUUCCAUUGACUCCAUAGGGCUGAACCAUCACUCCAGCUCUUUAAUGCCUCUUUGGUAGCUGUACCUGCUUGGUGCAAUUUGCUUCUUGGCCACCCAUUCCUCUGCACUGAUAUUCCCCAUUUCACUUUUCAUUUUAUCCUGUUACUUUCUUCUGAUUUAAGUUGAGAGUUCACCUGAUAACCAGUUUUUCUGUAAUGCUGAUUAUAUGAUGUCAGUAAGUGGGAACAGCAGAGCCUCUCUGCUUUCCCUCAAUGGGAAGUGACACGCUGCUGAUUAAAAUUUAUUGCUAAUAUGCUUUGAUGAAUGUUUCAGAGCGUGUUAUUGGGUUAGUUUUUUUUUUCAUUUCUGGAUGCUUUCUAUUUCUGUUUUAUCAAUUCUGUUUCCUCCGAUUGUUUUAGACAUAAUGUAUGACGCUAAUAACGUGUCAGCUUCAAAAAUCAGGAGCAGAAAUUGAUACUUCUUCUGAAAACUGCAGUGAGAGGGGAGAGUGAUUUAUAAUGUUCUUUAAAACAAGCAAUUACAUUUGUUGAUUGAGAUGCCAGUUACAUACACAAAAAUAAGGGAAGAUGUUUGAGUUUUCUGCUUCAAAUUAUCUAACACCAAGCAGUAAUUCGUAGCUGGGAAGCAGAUUUAUGAUGUAAGCAAGCCCAACUGCCAGCAAAAGGACUCUCCACUUCCCAGCACCUCUUCAAGGCUCCUUUAAGCUUCCAGCACUCCUUGAGAAGACUUUCACGGGAGUUUUAUGGCAGUUCAGUCCAUUAAUCUCUGCUCAUUUUUUCCCUCUUUAUCCAAUAAUGCCACGGUUCAGCUGCCCACGAGGAAUCGCUCAUUUUUCCUUCAGAGAUCCAGGUUUGUUCCAUUUUUGGGAUAACAUUUUGUAUAAUAACCCCCACCUUGCAAUAAAGACUAAGGGAAGUUCAGCUGCUGGUUAAUGUAAAAAAAAAAAAAAACAUACAUAAGGUGCUGUAAACUAAUUCUUCUCUCUUCCCACAGAUCUUUUAGUCCUUGAGGCCCCUUUUAACAAAGCACUCAAGUGUCUGAUCACCUUUACCCAUCUCAUCUCAUCUCAUCCAUCUCCCACGUGUUCCCACUUUCUCUUGGCUGGAAUUCCUCCAUAGUGCUCCUGGAAAUUCGCUCCAGGAGGCUUCUUGGAGAAAAGAAUUCCUGCUGGAGCAAUUCCUCUGCUGAGCAGGAGCGUGGAUGUGCUGCUCUAUACGUGUUAGUGCUCAACCCUGUUUUUCCACCUAUCUCUAAUUGGGUUUCCAUCACUGCCAGCUGAUUGUUCCUUCCUUAUUUUCUCCUUUAUUCAAAUGUUUUAGAUAAUUUUCCUCCAUCUGUAUUAUUUAAGAUGUUGCCACAACCUCAGAUGUGUCCAAAUUAGGCCUUUUUGAUUUGUUCCCUCUCCCCAUUUCUCCACUCUGUUUGCCUUUCUGGUGCUAGCCAUGUUUCCCAAAACAGAUUAAUUUACCAGCUUUCUUAAUAUAAUUAUUUCUCAGCCUUCCAGGUCCUUUAGGAAAAUAUUAGAGAGUGGGAAUGAUAACCACAAUUCCCUUGUUUCUGCAGAAGAUUUCAACUUGGCAUCGUCGUCGUCCUCCUCCUCUUCUUUUGUUUGCAUUCAAUUACUCAGGUUUUGCAUCUGUCCAAUCCAAUUUGAAUUAACAUUUCAAUUACUCUUUCAUGGAAAAAGAGAGUAAAUGCUUCAUUAAAUCACAUGCUUUAUUAAAAUACCCAUUGACAUCUAUAAAGAAACUUCCCAACAUGAUGUUUUACAAGUGGUUUUGUGCAAAAUAUCAUAAACAGUCUUGAAAUAUGUAAAAUUUUUAAUUAGGUUGCAAUAUAAAAUGUCAGAUUUUUAAUGCCUUCUGUGUGAGGGGAUGAUGAACUGAUUUAAGAGGCAGAAGGUCUCAGGUUUCUGGAGGAAAUUUAUGUGUUUUUGUAGGGAAAUGGAGUGUUGGGGUCCCUGUGCAAUCACAAAUCACAGGACACUGUUCUUGUCAUGGAACAAAAAGAUCAGCCCUGUGCCCCCAGAUAUCAGCACAGAAACUUUCCACUGCUGGAGAGGGUUGGGUUGAGGGCCUGGAGUUGUUCCCAUUUGUCCACAGCUCCUGUGGAAUCAGGGAAAUAGUGUCGGUGUGUCCCCAGGGGCAAAAAGCCAGCAGAAUCCCUCAAAAUCCAUCAAAGUUGUCCCCAAAUCCACCCAAACCUCCCCAAAUCCCAUUGAAACCUCCCCCUCCCCAAAUCUCCCAAAGUCCCAUUGAAAUAUGGCAAAAUUGUAUCAAGAUUCCACUCAAAAUUUCAGCAAAAUCCCCCCAAGCUCCCCCCAAAUCCACUUUAAAUACCCACAAAAUCCCAUCAAAAUUUCCACAAAUGCCCCUUAAAUGCCACAAAUUUUCCCAAAAUCACACAAACCCUCCCAAAAUCCUAUCAAAAACUGCCCCAAAUGCACCAAAAUAUCCCCAAUUCCCCCCCCCCCUGAAUCCCCAAAUAUCCCCAAAUAUCCCCCCAUGUCCCGAAGUCCUCCAUUAAAAAUGAUUAACCCCCAAACUUAGGAAUUUUCACCCCAAACCUCCCCAUUUUGGGGCCGAAAAAAUGACAUUUUAGGUUAAAAGAAGUGCUUAAAUUUGCUCUUAACUAAGGUGAGUUACUAGUGUGGGCAACUGGCCACAGAGUUACACUUCAUAUAGGUAAAAGCAACCACUAAAGUGCUUAAACUUUAUGGUUUAUGGUUUGUCAGCCUUUGUGUCUCUGAGUAAUCACUCAGCAAAAAAUUAAAAAAACUAAAAAAAAAAUAAAAUCAGAUAUUCUUGUUUCUUUCCAUUCCCUCACUCAGUAUUUCAUUUUUAAAUCUCCUUUAAAUUUCCUCCAGCCAGAAAGAAGCUGGUAAAGCAGUGUCAGGAGCUCUAGCGGGGCAGAGCGAUGUCUCUGCUCCUCCACUUGCUGGGCAGACUCCUAAUUAUGGCAGGAAGAUAUUUUAUAACAAAGGCAUAAAAAAAAAGCCCUUUUUUACUAGCUGUUCACACGCCUGCUAUAAUUAGCACUACACUGGGAAGUUUGCUUGCAGUUCAUCUGAACACAUCUACUUUUAACCUCGAUGACCGAGUUGUUUCUCAUGUGCUCAGUCAUGGAUUAAUGCUGAAAAGAUGGAGGUGACCUUUUUUUUUCCCCUUUUUUUUUUUUUUUAAACC